rnacentral:rRNA from 1 species
GCGGACGGGUGCGUAACGCGUACAGAACGUGCCUUUGGGCGGGGGAUAGCGUUGGGAAACUGACGGUAAUACCCCAUGGCAUCGGGAACCGGCAUCGGUUUUCGAUUAAAGUUACGGCGCCCAAAGAUCGCUGUGCGUCCGAUUAGCUAGUUGGCGGGGUAACGGCCCACCAAGGCGACGAUCGGUAGGGGGUGUGAGAGCAUGGCCCCCCACACGGGUACUGAGACACGGACCCGGCUCCUACGGGAGGCAGCAGUAAGGAAUAUCGGACAAUGGAGGGAACUCUGAUCCAGCCAUGCCGCGUGAAGGACGAAGGCGCUCAGCGUUGUAAACUUCUUUUGAAUGGGAACAAAACACCGGACUUGUCCGGGACUGAGGGUACCAUUAGAAUAAGCACCGGCUAACUCCGUGCCAGCAGCCGCGGUAAUACGGAGGGUGCGAGCGUUAUCCGGAAUCACUGGGUUUAAAGGGUGCGUAGGCGGCCAGAUAAGUCAGUCGUGAAAUCGCUGGGCUCAACCCAUGCAAUUGCGAUUGAUACUGUUUGGCUUGAAUUGGGUUCAGGCAGGCGGAAUGUGGCAUGUAGCGGUGAAAUGCUUAGAUAUGCCAUAGAACACCGAUUGCGAAGGCAGCUUGCUGGGCCCAUAUUGACGCUGAGGCACGAAAGCGUGGGGAGCAAACAGGAUUAGAUACCCUGGUAGUCCACGCCCUAAACGAUGUUUACUUGCUGUUUGGGCUAUAUGCUUGAGUGGCGAAGCGAAAGCGAUAAGUAAACCACCUGGGGAGUACGCCGGCAACGGUGAAACUCAAAGGAAUUGACGGGGGUCCGCACAAGCGGU